UACAGAGGUCCCGAGCGUUGUUCGGAUUCCCUGGGCGUAAAGGGUGCGCAGGUGGGUUGGCCAGUUUGAUGUGAAAGCCCCGGGCUUAACCCGGGAAUGGCAUUGAAUACUGCUGAUCUGGAGGAUUGGAGGGGGGACUGGAAUUCUUGGUGUAGCAGUGAAAUGCGUAGAUAUCAAGAGGAACACCAGUGGCGAAGGCGAGUCCCUGGACAAUACCUGACACUGAGGCACGAAAGCUAGGGGAGCAAACAGG
rnacentral:rRNA from 1 species